rnacentral:misc_RNA from 1 species
GCAGCAAUCUCAACCGUAUCCAGGUUUGUCAAUUUAGAGAAACAUCCCUUAUGUUUCUGAGCUUAUCUUGAACAAUCAGAUGCAGAAUUAAAUAUUGAUUGCUACUGUGUUGGUUAUUACUUGCUCUUUGGUUUCUUCUGGCAAAUGAGUUCCUAAAAUAUAAAAUGAAUCAUUUUUAGCUCAAUACCAUAGACAAAGUCAUGUGACAUUUGCCACCUUUGUGUAAUUCUCAGAAGGGUUGAUUGCAGUGUUAGGGAACAAUAUUAUGCAGAAGAAGAUGGAGGUGGGAUAAGAAUGAAAAUGGUAAAGAGAGGAACAAAAAUGAUGGAAUAGGUUCCUACAGUUAGCAUGAUACACUCAGAUCAAGGUCAAGUCUUCAUUUCAUAAUACCCCCAAUGAGUGGAAAGCUCAUUUUACAAUCUAAAGUUUUGUUUAUGGUAGUCUCAUGAAUCAGGAUUACUUAAUAAAGCCUCAAUUAUUGAAGGAAGAGUUACAGCAUAGCUGUAACUCUUUCCUCAAACAUUUGUCUAAUCUCAACACAUAAUUUCCUCAUAGAGUUUAUUUUCAUGAAGAGACAAAAUCAUGAUCUCUGACUUUUUGUGGCCUUUGCUAUAUUCUUGGAAGAAUUUGAGCAUUUGAAUGCAUGAUUGUGUAAUCAAUAAACUAAGUUGUCCAAGUGGUUGGCUGCGUUUAAGAUCUUGGUAAUAUGAACUACUAAAGAUCUCUCUGUUUUGGAAGGUAUAUUUUGAGUGAGGACUGUGAGAAUAACUCCCAUAUUGGUGAAAGAAAAAAGAUCUGGAAGUGUUUCCUGAAAUGAAUGUGGAGCAAAGCUAAUAAGAGAAUCAACUAGCUAAGUAAUGUACCAGGUUCACAGGCCGGGGGGACUAAAGUCCAUAUUAUAAUUGUGAUGCAAUGUAAUUGCGCUCAUCAUCUAGUCAAAGGAAAGAUUUUUGCUAAAGCUACAAAUUUUCACUGCUUACAUGUAAAUUGAUGAUGUGGGCUGCCCAGCUAAUAAGAUUAAAAAUGUUUGCUACAUUUGUCAUUGGUUGUUUCAUGUCAUGGACUGCAUUAAUUUAUGGUUGAAAAAAAAUAUUCUUUUAUCAUGUGAACCGUAAUGUUCUACUUCUUCCUCUCAUCACGUCAACAGUCAUUGCAAGUACCGGUUGGUGUUUUGAGACCACUUUGUGUUGGAUUUUUUCCCCUUGUCUAUGUUGCUCGACAUGCUUUCUUUUCUUUAAUCUAAGGUCUCUGGGGGCUGAGGUUGGGAGGAGCAGGGUGCAGAUGUGUAAUUAGAUAACAGAAAUUGUUAUUCAAUGAGUUUGUUCUGUUUAUAUGUAUUUUGUAGGAACUCUACACAAUAUUGAUUUGUCAAUGUGCUUUAUUGUUUUUAUAUGGCAAGUGAGCACAUCUUUCUCUCGUCUUAAUUGUAUCUUUAUAAACUUUAAAAAUUGAACCAUGCAAAACUCUACAAUGGGAGGCUUAUUAUUUCACCAGUGUGUUCCAUCUUAUUUUUGUCAUAAUAAUUUGGAUCUCAGUGCAUGAUCAUAUACUCAAUCCUCUAUUACCUGCGUGCAUGCAAAAGCUUAACUUUUGUUGUCUUCCAACCUGAACACACGUGAAUGGUUGCACUUGAAUGGCUUAGCUACGCAGAUGAGACAAUAAUCCUCAGCAACAAAUUAAUUUGGAGCAUCUUCCUUUCUUUGCAUUACUGUUUGUCCUUUUGCCCUCUUUUUAUAACUUUUAUCUUUUUGCGGUCUAAUGUCUCUCUAAAUCAAGGCUGUUGAAAUAAGCAUCAGCUUAGCAAAUCAGUAACUGAAAUCUCUGAUAGGCUUAAUUAGUAAUUUUACCUCCAUCUGUCCUUUAUUCGUAAUCCAUACGAAAACUACUGGACAUGUCAAAUAUUCUGACUUCAUUCUUAUUUAUUUUUCCUAGCUAUGUAAUUUUGCAACCGACUGGGAGCCCAUAUGGAUUUUAUCACUCAUAGUUACUUCAAGUCGAAGUAAUUCAUAGAGGUUCAUAGAUUUGAAAAUUUAAUAGCGGGGGAAAAAUAAUUUGCGAUUACCAUAAAUGAGGUUCAUUCAAGUGUCACCACUCAUUAGAUGGUUGUUGAAUGCUGUUUGAUUUCCUUGAAAUGUUACCUUUGAUGUUCCUUGAAAGAAUCAAUUUGAAAGAAGCCCAUUAUCUCGUGCAAUGUGUCUGGAUUAAACGUGAUUGAUAAGUUUUGGUAGUAAUAGUAGUCCAACCAUUCAUUUGUCAAUGACAUUGCCGUAUGGGCUUAUAUUUAGGGAGCUUCAUUUUUGGUCCCAUUUCUUUUUUCUUCUCUUGGAGGAAAAGAGCUUACAUACACAAGUACUCACAUUAUUUCUUUUUAUAUUCGUGGCAUUCAUUUUAUUUUAUAUUUGGCAUCUAACUAAUUUCAUUUUUUUUUUAAAUGGAUUUUUCUUGUUUUGGUAACAAUAAAGUGGAUCUGAUAUUUCUCAGAACCAAGUACUUGGUAUGGUUCUGGUAGAUAACUGAUUUGUUAAUAUGGAAACAUCAAAAUUUGGAAUCUGUCUGAGCUGCGCAUUUUUUUGUGGUUUUAGGGCAGCCAGUUAAACGCAGAAAGCGACAC